ACUCAAAUGAAUUGACGGGGACCCGCACAAGCAGUGGAGUAUGUUGUUUAAUUCGAAGCAACGCGAAAAACCUUACCAGGGCUUGACAUCCCUAGAAGUCCGCCGAGAGGUGGAUGUGCCUUCGGGAACUAGGUGACAGGUGGUGCAUGGUUGUCGUCAGCUCGUGUCGUGAGAUGUUGGGUUAAGUCCCGCAACGAGCGCAACCCUUAUUGCUAGUUGCUAACAUUUAGUUGAGCACUCUAGUGAGACUGCCGUUGACAAAACGGAGGAAGGUGGGGACGACGUCAAAUCAUCAUGCCCCUUAUGUCCUGGGCUACAAACGUACUACAAUGGCCGUUAACAACGGGUUGCCAAGCCGCGAGGCGGAGCUAAUCCCCAAAAACGGUCCCAGUUCGGAUUGCAGGCUGAAACUCGCCUGCAUGAAGUUGGAAUUGCUAGUAAUCGCGAAUCAGCAUGUCGCGGUGAAUACGUUCCCGGGUCUUGUACACACCGCCCGU
rnacentral:rRNA from 1 species